AUAGGGGAGCCGGAGGGAAACCGAGUCUUAACCGGGCGUUAAGUUGCAGGGUAUAGACCCGAAACCCGGUGAUCUAGCCAUGGGCAGGUUGAAGGUUGGGUAACACUAACUGGAGGACCGAACCGACUAAUGUUGAAAAAUUAGCGGAUGACCUGUGGCUGGGGGUGAAAGGCCAAUCAAACCGGGAGAUAGCUGGUUCUCCCCGAAAGCUAUUUAGGUAGCGCCUCGUGAAUUCAUCUCCGGGGGUAGAGCACUGUUUCGGCUAGGGGGCCAUCCCGGCUUACCAACCCGAUGCAAACUGCGAAUACCGGAGAAUGUUAUCACGGGAGACACACGGCGGGUGCUAACGUCCGUCGUGAAGAGGGAAACAACCCAGACCGCCAGCUAAGGUCCCAAAGUCAUGGUUAAGUGGGAAACGAUGUGGGAAGGCCCAGACAGCCAGGAUGUUGGCUUAGAAGCAGCCAUCAUUUAAAGAAAGCGUAAUAGCUCACUGGUCGAGUCGGCCUGCGCGGAAGAUGUAACGGGGCUAAACCAUGCACCGAAGCUGCGGCAGCGAAGGGUUCCUGUCCAACGUUAAUCGGGGCAGGGUGAGUCGACCCCUAAGGCGAGGCCGAAAGGCGUAGUCGAUGGGAAACGGGUUAAUAUUCCCGUACUUGGUGUUACUGCGAAGGGGGGACGGAGAAGGCUAUGUUGGCCGGGCGACGGUUGUCCCGGUUUAAGCGUGUAGGUGUGUGUUCCAGGUAAAUCCGGUUCACUUUAACACUGAGGCGUGACGACGAGGCACUACGGUGCUGAAGCAACAAAUGCCCUGCUUCCAGGAAAAGCCUCUAAGCAUCAGGUAACAUCAAAUCGUACCCCAAACCGACACAGGUGGUCAGGUAGAGAAUACCAAGGCGCUUGAGAGAACUCGGGUGAAGGAACUAGGCAAAAUGGUGCCGUAACUUCGGGAGAAGGCACGCUGACAYGUAGGUGAAGUGAUUUACUCAUGGAGCUGAAGUCAGUCGAAGAUACCAGCUGGCUGCAACUGUUUAUUAAAAACACAGCACUGUGCAAACACGAAAGUGGACGUAUACGGUGUGACGCCUGCCCGGUGCCGGAAGGUUAAUUGAUGGGGUCAGCGCAAGCGAAGCUCCUGAUCGAAGCCCCGGUAAACGGCGGCCGUAACUAUAACGGUCCUAAGGUAGCGAAAUUCCUUGUCGGGUAAGUUCCGACCUGCACGAAUGGCGUAAUGAUGGCCAGGCUGUCUCCACCCGAGACUCAGUGAAAUUGAACUCGCUGUGAAGAUGCAGUGUACCCGCGGCAAGACGGAAAGACCCCGUGAACCUUUACUAUAGCUUGACACUGAACAUUGAGCCUUGAUGUGUAGGAUAGGUGGGAGGCUUUGAAGUGUGGACGCCAGUCUGCAUGGAGCCGRCCUUGAAAUACCACCCUUUAAUGUUUGAUGUUCUAACGUGGACCCGUGAUCCGGGUUGCGGACAGUGUCUGGUGGGUAGUUUGACUGGGGCGGUCUCCUCCUAAAGAGUAACGGAGGAGCACGAAGGUUGGCUAAUCCUGGUCGGACAUCAGGAGGUUAGUGCAAUGGCAUAAGCCAGCUUGACUGCGAGCGUGACGGCGCGAGCAGGUGCGAAAGCAGGUCAUAGUGAUCCGGUGGUUCUGAAUGGAAGGGCCAUCGCUCAACGGAUAAAAGGUACUCCGGGGAUAACAGGCUGAUACCGCCCAAGAGUUCAUAUCGACGGCGGUGUUUGGCACCUCGAUGUCGGCUCAUCACAUCCUGGGGCUGAAGUAGGUCCCAAGGGUAUGGCUGUUCGCCAUUUAAAGUGGUACGCGAGCUGGGUUUAGAACGUCGUGAGACAGUUCGGUCCCUAUCUGCCGUGGGCGCUGGAGAACUGAGGGGGGCUGCUCCUAGUACGAGAGGACCGGAGUGGACGCAUCACUGGUGUUCGGGUUGUCAUGCCAAUGGCACUGCCCGGUAGCUAAAUGCGGAAGAGAUAAGUGCUGAAAGCAUCUAAGCACGAAACUUGCCCCGAGAUGAGUUCUCCCUGAGACUUC
rnacentral:rRNA from 1 species